GUUGAGGACGGCGCUCGAGUCGCUGUCCGAAGACCCGUCCUUGCAGAUCAGAGGCGGUGGCUCCUGCGGGGCCGUGGCUUUUUGCUCGGCAUCGGACGCCACCGGAUCCUCCUUGCCGAGGCAGAAGCUUAGACUCCCGUCCUCGGCCAACUUGGCCCUCAGCUCCUUGAUCUGUACCACCGCAGAAUCGGAUCCAUGUACGAGCAAUUCGACUUAAACUUGGAUCAAGCUCGGUAGCUCACCUCUGCGAGCAGGGACUCCUUGUCACGGCGGAGGGCAUCGCAGUCGAGGCGGAGCUGGUCGUAGCUGGCCUUGAGGGCCGCGUAGUCGUGCUCCAGCUGCUUGGUCUUCCACCGGGCCCGGCGGUUCUGGAACCAGACGGCCACCUGCCGGGGCUGGAGGCCGAGCUCCUGCGCCAGCCUCA
rnacentral:lncRNA from 1 species